AGCGAACGUUAGCGGCGGGCCUAACACAUGCAAGUCGAGCGAGAAAGUGGCUUCGGCCAUCAGUAAAGCGGCGGACGGGUGAGUAACACGUAGGUAAUCUUCCCUUGAGCGGGGGAAAACAGGCCGAAAGGCCUGCUAAUACCGCAUAAGUUCUAGAGAACUCCGGUUUUCUAGAGGAAAGCUAGGUAGCAAUAUCCGGCACUCGAGGAGGAGCCUGCGUCGCAUCAGCUAGUUGGGGGGGUAACGGCCUACCAAGGCGAAGACGCGUAGCUGGUCUGGGAGGAUGAUCAGCCACACGGGGACUGAGAAACGGCCCAGCCUCCUACGGGAGGCGGCAGUGGGGAAUAUUGGACAAUGGGCGCAAGCCUGAUCCAGCCACGCCGCGUGGGUGAUGAAGGCCUUCGGGUCGUAAAGCUCUGUGGGGAGGGACGAACCGCCAACGGUUAAUACCCGGUGGCAUGACGGUACCUCCUUAGCAAGCACCGGCUAACUUCGUGCCAGCAGCCGCCGUAAGAC
rnacentral:rRNA from 1 species